AUUGAACGCUGGCGGCAUGCUUUACACAUGCAAGUCGAACGGCAGCGCGGGCUUCGCCCUGGCGGCGAGUGGCGAACGGGUGAGUAAUGCAUCGGAACGUGCCCAGUAGUGGGGGAUAGCCCGGCGAAAGCCGGAUUAAUACCGCAUACGACCUGAGGGUGAAAGCGGGGGACCGAAAGGCCUCGCGCUAUUGGAGCGGCCGAUGUCGGAUUAGCUAGUUGGUGGGGUAAAGGCUUACCAAGGCGACGAUCCGUAGCUGGUCUGAGAGGACGACCAGCCACACUGGGACUGAGACACGGCCCAGACUCCUACGGGAGGCAGCAGUGGGGAAUUUUGGACAAUGGGGGCAACCCUGAUCCAGCCAUGCCGCGUGCGGGAAGAAGGCCUUCGGGUUGUAAACCGCUUUUGUUCGGGAAGAAAUCCUGGGGCUAAUACCCCGGGGGGAUGACGGUACCGGAAGAAUAAGCACCGGCUAACUACGUG
rnacentral:rRNA from 1 species